UGGUUUCGUGCGGUUAUGAUUUGUGGUUGUCGCGUGCAUUCGUUGUUGGGUUUUCGCGUCCAAACUUCCGUGUUACACACGGAUUCCGUUCAUCACGCUCUGUAGACAUCAACGACGGUAGUGAAGCUUUUAGUGUUGAGCAGCACAACAGAGAACAACAUAUCCUACAGUUUGCAGUGGUUGUUCAUCUCCUCGUGAGUUGUGAUCGCCCGUAAAAAAACACCGUGUGCACGUCACUUCAGGAGGAAAAGGGUUUUCUUUCUUUCGUUUUUCCUUCUAAUCCAUCCGCCGUUUUGUGUUUGUGUGUGUAUGUGUUGUUCUUUCCCUCAUAACAAGGAACGAAAAGGAAUUCCUGAAGAGUGCGAUGGACCCAAGUAAAAUUCUGGUUUGUGUACGAGUGGAGGAGAAGCUGCGCAACAAUGUGUUCGAUUGAAGAUUGUUCUGGCUAACGGUAAACGCGGUGGCGAAAGCACGAAUUUCUAUUGUGUACGGUGCGAGUGACAGUUGUCGAUCGGCAAACAAACGGAAAUUACAGUAGGGCAUUUCUCAGAAAUUGUUCAGGUUCAUUCGAAUGGAAUUUUAUCGUACAUCAUAAAUGAUUAAACAAGAAACAAGGGAUCCAAAAUUGUGUGUACAAGUGUGCAACAGUCGAAGGUGAAUAUCUCUUGUUUGCAGUAUAAUUUAUCUGUGCUAUUCUGUGUGUAUUUCGCAAAUGUCAUGUGGCAGUGCGCUGUCGGUGUUAGUGCAAUCUCUAUGUCGAAGAUGGAAGGAAGGAAAGAAUAAAAAGCGUUUUUUUUAUCUGGUUGUAAGUCUCCGGCUGAUGAAGGUAGCAGAAGCCGUUCGGUUAACAACGGUGUUCGGACUCUAGGAAUAACUUUCGAAAAAUGUACAGGUAAUAUUCGUAAAGUCGUUGGUCGCUCCCUGCUCGUUCGAGAACUUGAAAUAUGGAAUGAAACGAAGAAUUGCACUCAGCAUAUUAACUGUUGUUUUCGAUAAAUAACAAAUAAUGUGCUUGUGAUCAUCUCGAGAGAAAAAAUGUGUGAUAGUGAUAAAGGUGCUCUGAAAUAGCUUAAAAUCUCCAAAGUGCAAUUAAGAAGAAAAGAAAAAAACAAAGGACGAUCGCGAUCGGCGAAACAAGUCCUAAUGGUGGUUUCCAAUGAUGACACAACUGGAGGAAUCGAGAAAGGAUGGUCCAUCGGCGGGAGGUGGAUUCCAACACGCGACUCCUUUGACUUCGCAGCAGCAGCAACAACAACAACAACAACCACAUCUGCAGCAGCACUUGCAAAUUCCGACCGGCCAGCCUGUGCUACUGCAGAAUCCUUCGGAAGCCAGCCGAACGUACGUGUUUCCUGGUUCGAGUGCAGCAGCAGGUGGCGGCAACGGUAGUGGAGUGACCACAAGUAGUGGAACGACUAACGUUGGUGGCCGGGCUUUGUUCGAGCACCCCAGAAGUGGAGGGCACUCGCGCUCCGUGAGCCAUGGGGAAGGUUCGUUUGGAAUGUUUGGAGCCGCCGGUAGGCCUUCGGCACUCAAAUCUGCCGUUAAGGGGGGCCAUCAGCGAGCAUUGUCACAGGGACAAAUUACGGAUGCCCCAGUGCCUCGAUCAGGCCACAGUCGAGUUGGCUCGAAGACGGAUUUUAUCCUUCCACCUGGUCACAAAGAACAACAAGAACCACGCGAACCGGGUACUGCUUCCACUUCGGGCAAGGGUCACUCGAGGCAAGCCUCCCGAUCGGAAUCGAUCUACACCUUACGCCGAGCCGAUCGACCUCCGUGGUGGAAACGGCUCAUGUUCUGUCGCAGCAGGAAGUUCGAAGAUCGGGGCUACCGAAUAGUGGUCCCCAAUCACACAGUGCCUCCCAAAACGCCGAAACAUCAGCACCCGAAUGGCCAUCUCGCGGGGAACAAAAUUCGGACUACCAAAUACACGCUACUCUCCUUUGUGCCGAAAAAUUUACUCGAACAGUUCCAUCGCGUAGCUAAUUUGUAUUUCAUAUUUAUAGUGCUGCUCAAUUGGUUUCCCCAGAUAAAUGCCUUCGGCAAGGAAAUCGCCAUGAUCCCGGUACUGUUUGUGCUGGGUGUGACUGCAAUCAAAGACUUGUUUGAGGACCGGCGUCGGCGGGCUUCGGACAAGCGCAUAAAUAACUCGACCUGUCGUGUUUACAAUGGAGAGUCUGAACGCUACAAGAAAAUCCUAUGGCAAGACGUGCGCGUAGGUGACCUGGUGCAUUUGUCCAACAAUGAGACUGUUCCGGCAGACAUUCUGCUGCUCAAAUCUAGUGAUCCUCACGGGGUAUGCUACAUCGAUACGUGCGAUCUGGACGGGGAAACGAACCUCAAGCGGAGACAGGUUAUACGAGGCUUUGCCGAUAAACAGCACAUCUUCUCGCCGAGCAAGUUCACCAGUCGGGUAGAGGUCGACGUACCAUCCACCAAAAUCUAUCGCUUCCAUGGAGCCGUGCUACAUCCAUCCGGCGAACGCGUACCAGUGUCCACCGAAAGUUUGCUAUUAAGAGAGAGUCGACUAAAGAAUACGGACUAUGCCGAAGGUAUUGUUGUCUACGCUGGUCAUGAAACGAAGGCGAUGCUCAACAAUAGUGGUCCACGGUACAAGCGGUCCCAAAUCGAGCAGCAAAUGAACAUCGAUGUUAUUUGGUGUGUAAUUAUUUUAAUUAUCCUCUGUGUCAUAGGCGCUAUUGGUUGCAAGAUGUGGUUGUCGUCAUUUGUCGCCGCAUCAGGCGAUUAUAACGAAACGUACCGUAUCCCAUAUCUGCCGUUCGAGAUCCAUCCCGAUUACGAAGGUCUCCUAGCAUUUUGGACGUUUGUGAUAAUUCUUCAGAUUAUGAUUCCGCUGUCUUUGUACGUGACAAUCGAACUGUGUAAAAUCAUGCAAGUAUACCACAUACACAACAGUAUUGAGCUCUACGAUUCGCAAACGAACAAGAGGACCGAAUGUCGGGCAAUGAACAUAACGGAGGAAUUGGGACAAAUUCAAUAUGUUUUCUCGGACAAAACGGGAACGCUGACCGAGAAUCGCAUGAUAUUUCGAAGAUGUACAAUCGUGGGGGUAGAUUACAAUCAUCCGGAAACUGAGGAGGAGAAAGAACUAACCAAGAACGGAGGUCCAGUGCCGUUUCUUCAGCCAAAUAUUAGUUUAAUGCAGAACCUGAAUCACACCACCGACGCCGAUCGAUUGUCGGACAGCGCGCAGCGGAUUCAAGAGUUUUUCGUAGUGCUGGCAAUUUGCAAUACAGUCAUAGUGAGUGCAACACCCCACAAGGACCAUAUGAACGCGAGUGGAGUGAUAGAAAUGAACGACAGUGACACCAGUAUAACGCUGGUACGACCUGUGGUUAGCGAUGCGAUCGCGAAUGGAAUCGAUCCUGUCAGCGAUCGUUACGCACGACUGACAGAAUCCCGUUCCAUAACUCCUUCGCCUCCACCGAAUGCGCCUUCUUCGCUGCCUUUGAAACAAACCCAUGUGCCAUCGCUAUCGCCAAUCAGUAGUUCAGCGGAAACGUCUCCCAUGUCGGAGAGUCCUCCGAUGAGGGUGAAAGCAAUUACGCCAACUGCUCGUGUGAAAUCACUAGUGGCGAAGCUACCGCGAGGUCCUUUCAAGUCUAGCAAUAAGAACAAGUUCAAUGUGAAUAGCGUUAAGUUUCAAAAAUCCCUCUCCCAGGGAUCAACACCUAGUGAUCGACGACCAAUCUUUGAGGCCGAAAGCCCCGAUGAACUUGCAUUGGUUAAUGCGGCCUAUAGCUACGACUGCUGCCUCAUAAACCGGAGUCCCAACCACGUUCUCGUGAAUGUUCCGGGGGAUGGUGUGGUCGAGUAUGAAGUGCUCAAAAUAUUGCCCUUUGAUUCGAACCGGAAGUGCAUGUCCGUCGUGGUUCGGAAAACGGGAACCCAAGACGUAGUCUUGUAUACGAAGGGUGCUGAUAGCUCAAUUAUGUCUUGCCUAGAACCGUGUUCACCGGGGUCAGAAGAAUAUCGACUACGGGAACAAACUCAGCACCAGCUUAAUUUGUACGCCAAACAAGGUUUGAGGGUUCUCGUGAUGGCCAAACGACAUCUGAAUCUAUCGGAUUUUUCCGAAUGGUACAGCAAACAUCAAGAGUGUGAGCUCAGCAUGGAGAAUCGUGAGAAGAAAAUCCGGGAAUCAUUUUCUCUGCUAGAGAGGAGUCUUGUCCUUUUAGGUUCAACAGGAAUAGAAGAUCGACUGCAGGAGGGUGUACCAGAGGCGGUUGCAUCGCUUCUUCAAUCCGGAAUUGUGAUAUGGGUACUUACGGGUGAUAAAACUGAAACCGCGAUCAAUGUCGCCUAUUCGGCUCGAUUGUUCAGCGCACAGAUGGAAAUUCUUCGGCUAACCGCUCGAUCGCGGGAUUCGGCAGAGUCUUGUAUAAAUUUCUACCUGAACGAGAUCGAAAAGCAGAUGAACGAUGCUGCCGACUGUUCGUUUCGAAGUGAUCGAGAGAAGGGCCGCGCUCUGGUGGUGGAUGGAAAGACGCUCACAUUCAUCCUGGAUUUGCGGUCGAAUUUGACAAAACCAUUCCUUAGGUUAACCAAAUACUGCUCGUCGGUGCUGUGCUGUAGGGCCACGCCACUGCAGAAGGCCUAUCUGGUGAAGGUGGUCAAGGAAGAGCUCCGGAUGACCACGUUGGCAAUUGGCGACGGAGCGAAUGAUGUGUCCAUGAUACAGAUGGCGGACGUGGGUGUCGGCAUUUGUGGCCAGGAAGGCAUGCAGGCUGUAAUGGCAUCGGAUUUUACCAUCGCUAAAUUCAGAAUCUUGGAGAAACUGUUGCUUGUCCAUGGUCACUGGAACUACGAUCGGUUGGCGAGAAUGAUUAUUUAUUUUUUCUAUAAAAAUGCUGCAUUCGUGUUCUUACUGUUCUGGUAUCAACUGUAUUGCGGCUUCUCCGGUGCUGUCAUGAUAGACGAAAUCUAUCUGAUGAUCUACAACCUUAUUUUCACUGCCUUGCCACCGCUUGCCAUCGGCGUUUAUGAUAAAAAGAUAAUCGACGAUUUGCUGCUUAAUUAUCCCCGCUUAUAUCGCCAUGGUCGUCUGGGGAAGGGCUACAAGCCACACACAUUCUGGAUUGUAAUGCUCGACGCGCUCUACCAGAGUCUAGUGAUAUUUUUCAUAGCCAAGGCGGCCUUUUGGGAUUCCGAUGUUGACGUUUGGGUGUUCGGAACGACCAUCACUUCGUCCUGUUUAUUCGCGAUGUUGUUACACUGUGCCAUAGAAAUUAGAUCAUGGACAAUCCUUCACGUAUUAUCCAUUGUGAUGAGUAUAGGAUCUUUCUACGUAUUUGCCUUCGCGUAUAAUACCGUGUGUGUUAGCUGCUUCGGUUUACCCUCCAACUAUUGGGUGAUCCACAUGAGCAUGAGUACGAUACAGUAUUAUCUGAUAACUGCCCUUACCGCUGUUCUUGCGCUGUUGCCUCGCUUCAUGUAUCGCAUUCUCGAGAACACCAUCUGGCCUGGGGAAGCCAUCUGCGUCACGCUACAGUACAAGGAGGAGAAACGAAGAGGUGAGAAUUUGCUGGUGACAUGGUCCCGUUCCACGUCCGCCUCGUCUAUAUUCAGGUAUUUAACGACAACAACAACAACCAAUACGACGAACACCAUGACCACAACAACCACCACAGCAACGGGGACGACGUUCUCCUCCAGCAAGAACCGAGGCUCCAAGCGAGAGCGCACACUGAAGGUGCGCAAGAAAUUGAACGCCGCAGUUGGCAUUCUAGAGCGUAACAAUCCGCAGCAACGGUUCGGCUAUUAGUUGUGUGUGUAGAGUUGUAGAGUCUCGCGGAUGGUGCGCACUUGUAAGCUGGAAAGAGAGAAUGCUAGUGGGCGUGAGAAUGAACUGAAGGAACCGCCAAUUACCGGACUGCGCAUAAGACUGUGACAAAAGAGUAGCUGACGUAGCAAAUAUCGAGAGAGGGGAGAGCCUAGCUGAAAUCUAUUUUAAUCCUUUCCAUAUGUAGCAUACGCGUCUUAUCGAACCAAUCCCCGAAAAGAAUUAUUUAUUUUAGAUCUGUUAAGCUCAGCCUAAUGUUUGUGAUCUUGUAAACUCAGUCGGGUUGAAUAUAUGUCAGAAUAAAAAACACACACAGCCAUAUCAACUUAAAACAAUUCCACGUUGAAUGCUGUCUGCAAGAUUCGAUAAUGUUGAAAGCGGCCUUACACCCGAAUAUUCCAGUUUUCACCGUAUUUUUGAAUUUUAUUUUUUGCUUAAACCCAUUUGAUAAAGAUAUCGAAUUUGUAAAUAAUAACAGAAUAGUUAUAGGUUGUAUAUAAUAAAUUCUAGAUUUCUUUAGGAGAAACCCCGAAUAGCAACAAAUGCAUGUGUUGAUUUGCUUGUUACUGAAUACAGUUAACAAACUCGCGAAUUGAUCCUUAAUUUGCGCUGAAUUGUCGCGGUUGCAUUUUUCAGUACCAUAAUACGCUUAUAGAAAAAAUGCUUCGACGUUGAAGGCAUCUGCAGCAGCAUAGAGACAAAUCCUUCUUCAUACAUUAAAAUGUGAGCAUCAUAAACAUAUGAAAACAUGGCUGUGAGAAAGCGUGGACUGCACACUAGUUGGAUGGCAAUUCUGUCAAAAAAGGCGAAUAAGUGCUGAAGAGGGAUAACGACAAUAAAUGGAUGAGCUGGGUAUUAUAAUUUUAUCGGAUAGCAUACGCACCAGAAUCAAUCAAUAUGGUAAAAGACACAAUUUUAUCCCUCUUUAUCAACACUUUUUUUUUGUCCGCAUUCGAUUUGAAAUUUAUCUAGAAGUUGAGAAGAGAGGGACAACUAAUUGCUAAUCUAUGCAAUCUGCUCACAACAACAUAGUAUUGCUCUAUAUUAUUAAUACGAAUGAUCAAUAGUAAAUUAUUUAAUUUUACAAGAUAAUCAAAUGCAGCCUAGAACUUUCAAUAUUUAACCCGUAGAAUGAUGACAGGUAACUAGUAACUAUGAAUCGGAUAUACAUGAAUACUACUGUAAAUAGUGAUACACUUUACCUAGGAUUCGAAAUCAAUUUUGUUAUGUAAGAUUAAUAUUUUAUGCGUAAAGUGAAAAUGGAACAGGUUUUAUAAAAAAAAAAUUAUGACAAGGUAUAACAAUUUUGGGC